rnacentral:sRNA from 1 species
GCCAGGCGUUGUGGCAGGCGCCUGUAGUCCCAGCUACUUGGGAGGCUGAGGCAGGAGACUCACUUGAGCCCAGGAGUUGGAGGUUGCUGUGAGCUGUGAUGCCAUGGCACUCUACCCAGGGGGAUAGCUUGAGGCUCCGUCUCAAAAAAAAAAAAAAGAGAGACAGAGUCUCACUUUGUUGCCCUCAGUAUGGCAUCACAGCUCACAGCAACCUCCAACUCCUGGGCUUAGACGAUUCUCUUGCCU